rnacentral:rRNA from 1 species
AAAUUGAAGAGUUUGAUCAUGGCUCAGAUUGAACGCUGGCGGCAGGCCUAACACAUGCAAGUCGAACGGUAACAGGAAGCAGCUUGCUGCUUCGCUGACGAGUGGCGGACGGGUGAGUAAUGUCUGGGAAACUGCCUGAUGGAGGGGGAUAACUACUGGAAACGGUAGCUAAUACCGCAUAAUGUCGCAAGACCAAAGAGGGGGACCUUCGGGCCUCUUGCCAUCGGAUGUGCCCAGAUGGGAUUAGCUUGUUGGUGGGGUAACGGCCCACCAAGGCGACGAUCCCUAGCUGGUCUGAGAGGAUGACCAGCCACACUGGAACUGAGACACGGUCCAGACUCCUACGGGAGGCAGCAGUGGGGAAUAUUGCACAAUGGGCGCAAGCCUGAUGCAGC